GCCUCGGUGGCUCUAAGGCAAAGCGCCGGUCUAAGGAUCCCCAUUUGGUGGGUUCGAAUCCCGACCGAGGUG
rnacentral:tRNA from 1 species